rnacentral:rRNA from 1 species
GAUUGAACGCUGGCGGCAGGCCUAACACAUGCAAGUCGAACGGUAGCACAGAGAGCUUGCUCUUGGGUGACGAGUGGCGGACGGGUGAGUAAUGUCUGGGAAACUGCCCGAUGGAGGGGGAUAACUACUGGAAACGGUAGCUAAUACCGCAUAACGUCUUCGGACCAAAGUGGGGGACCUUCGGGCCUCACACCAUCGGAUGUGCCCAGAUGGGAUUAGCUAGUAGGUGGGGUAAUGGCUCACCUAGGCGACGAUCCCUAGCUGGUCUGAGAGGAUGACCAGCCACACUGGAACUGAGACACGGUCCAGACUCCUACGGGAGGCAGCAGUGGGGAAUAUUGCACAAUGGGCGCAAGCCUGAUGCAGCCAUGCCGCGUGUAUGAAGAAGGCCUUCGGGUUGUAAAGUACUUUCAGCGGGGAGGAAGGCGAUGGAGUUAAUAGCUUCAUCGAUUGACGUUACCCGCAGAAGAAGCACCGGCUAACUCCGUGCCAGCAGCCGCGGUAAUACGGAGGGUGCAAGCGUUAAUCGGAAUUACUGGGCGUAAAGCGCACGCAGGCGGUCUGUCAAGUCGGAUGUGAAAUCCCCGGGCUUAACCUGGGAACUGCAUUCGAAACUGGCAGGCUAGAGUCUUGUAGAGGGGGUAGAAUUCCAGGUGUAGCGGUGAAAUGCGUAGAGAUCUGGAGGAAUACCGGUGGCGAAGGCGGCCCCCUGGACAAAGACUGACGCUCAGGUGCGAAAGCGUGGGGAGCAAACAGGAUUAGAUACCCUGGUAGUCCACGCCGUAAACGAUGUCGACUUGGAGGUUGUGCCCUUGAGGCGUGGCUUCCGGAGCUAACGCGUUAAGUCGACCGCCUGGGGAGUACGGCCGCAAGGUUAAAACUCAAAUGAAUUGACGGGGGCCCGCACAAGCGGUGGAGCAUGUGGUUUAAUUCGAUGCAACGCGAAGAACCUUACCUACUCUUGACAUCCAGCGAAUUCGGUAGAGAUACCUUAGUGCCUUCGGGAACGCUGAGACAGGUGCUGCAUGGCUGUCGUCAGCUCGUGUUGUGAAAUGUUGGGUUAAGUCCCGCAACGAGCGCAACCCUUAUCCUUUGUUGCCAGCGGUCCGGCCGGGAACUCAAAGGAGACUGCCAGUGAUAAACUGGAGGAAGGUGGGGAUGACGUCAAGUCAUCAUGGCCCUUACGAGUAGGGCUACACACGUGCUACAAUGGCGCAUACAAAGAGAAGCGACCUCGCGAGAGCAAGCGGACCUCAUAAAGUGCGUCGUAGUCCGGAUUGGAGUCUGCAACUCGACUCCAUGAAGUCGGAAUCGCUAGUAAUCGUAGAUCAGAAUGCUACGGUGAAUACGUUCCCGGGCCUUGUACACACC